rnacentral:rRNA from 1 species
CUACGGGGGGCUCCAGUGAGGAAUAUUGCACAAUGGGGGGAACCCUGAUGCAGCGACGCCGCGUGGAGGAUGACGCAUUUCGGUGUGUAAACUCCUUUUAUAUGUCAAGAAAAUGACGGUAGCAUAUGAAUAAGCACCGGCUAACUCCGUGCCAGCAGCCGCGGUAAUACGGAGGGUGCAAGCGUUACUCGGAAUCACCGGGCGUAAAGGACGCGUAGGCGGGCUUGUAAGUCAGGUGUGAAAUCCUACAGCUUAACUGUAGAACUGCACUUGAAACUACGAGCCUAGAGUAUGGGAGGGGGAGAUGGAAUUAGUGGUGUAGGGGUAAAAUCCGUAGAUAUCACUAGGAAUACCUAAAGCGAAGGCGAUCUCCUGGAACAUAACUGACGCUAAGGCGUGAAAGCGUGGGGAGCAAACAGGAUUAGAUACCCUUGUAGUC